ensembl:lncRNA
GAGACCUUCCCUCCCAUAAGCAGAAGUCUCUGGAAAGCCCAGCUCUCAAGCAGGCCUCUGCCUUGCUUAUAUGUCCACAGCAUCAGUGACUCCCAAGAUGACCAAAGUUUCCUGAAAGGUGAAGAAAAUGCUUGAUUCUGGAGCGCCCUCCUAAUAGCAAUUUCCCCCAUCUAUUUCCCAUGAAGUGAUGGGACCAGAUGCCAUGAUGGUGACUGCACCAUGAAAUUAAAAGACGCUUACUCCUUGGAAGGAAAGUUAUGACCAACCUAGAUAGCAUAUGCAAAAGCAGAGACAUUACUUUGCCAACAAAGUCUAGUCAAGGCUAUGGUUUUUCCUGUGGUCAUGUAUGGAUGUGAGAGUUGGACUGUGAAG